GACGAACGCUGGCGGCGUGCCUAAUACAUGCAAGUUGAGCGAUGAAGCUUGGUGCUUGCACCAAUUUGAAGAGCAGCGAACGGGUGAGUAACGCGUGGGUAAUCUGCCUUUGAGCGGGGGACAACAUUUGGAAACGAAUGCUAAUACCGCAUAACAACUUUAAACAUAAGUUUUAAGUUUGAAAGAUGCAAUUGCAUCACUCAAAGAUGAUCCCGCGUUGUAUUAGCUAGUUGGUGAGGUAAAGGCUCACCAAGGCGAUGAUACAUAGCCGACCUGAGAGGGUGGUCGGCCACAAUGGGACUGAGACCCGGCCCAAACUCCUACGGGAGGCAGCAGUAGGGAAUCUUCGGCAAUGGACGAAAGGCUGACCGAGCAACGCCGCGGGAGGGAAGAAGGUUUUCGGAUCGUAAAACUCUGUUGGUAGAGAAGAACGUUGGUGAGAGUGGAAAGCUCAUCAAGUGACGGUAACUACCCAGAAAGGGACGGCUAACUACGUG
rnacentral:rRNA from 1 species